GGCAGUGAUAGGGGAGUGUCUAUGUAACUAGCUAUAAACUAGCUGGGUGUUGUUAGGGGGGGUGCUGGAGGUGUGGCAGAGAAGGGAGAAGUGCAUCAUGGGUUUGGUUGGAUACAGCAACAGGCAGGGCUACAUACAGGAUGAAAACAACCCAGAGGGAUUGGUUUAUAUGGUGAAAACGGUUCAGAAGAGUCCA